AGCCUAAACCCCUGAAGAAUUUGAAUGGAAUCGUUGAGGUACCGGCAUUGUAAAGAUUCAUGCAAAAUCGGCGGUCACAUCAACAAGACUUUCACAUUACCUCAUCUACUAUUCUUGCGUCAACCUUGCACAUCACAAGAUUGAACACAAGAAACCAAGGAGUAACUAACACAGAUUCAAAUUCAGGGGCAGGGUUCAGGCCGGGGUUUGAUCCAUCGGCACCUCAGAACAGUGCAGGAGUUGCUGAGCCUCCAGGACGACCAGAAAACAAUCAAGACAGCGUAGCCAACCCCGUGCAGAUUCCCGGGCAAGCUGACAUUCGACAAGCAGAAGGUGGUCCGAACCCCGGUUUCAUGAAUUCAUUCAGUUCUAUGUUAUUAUGGAUCUUAGGAGGUGCUUCAUCUGAGGGUCUCAACUCGUUUUUUUCAAAGUUCAGAGAUGUUAGAGACAAGGGACAAGUUUUUGCUGAAACUCCUCAUGAUGAAAACCGUGAGAAUUAGGAGAAUGACAGAUAGUGGUAGAACAUUAGAUUUUGAUCAUAAGUACUUGUUAAUACUUAAUAUAGGAAUACUGUACGGCAUAUCAUAUAGGUGACUGAACUUUCUCUCUCUUUGGUCCAAAUGAAAAUAAAACUAACGAAAAAGAAUGUGUAUAUAAUGUAUAUGUAUAUUCUUUAUA